rnacentral:lncRNA from 1 species
UCAAAGGCUUUCAGAGUAAGGGGAGGACAGGGAGGUGCUCAGUACCCCACCUCACUUUCCAGCCUCCUGUCCUGCCGCUCCCCACCAUACAUCGUCACCGCCCCCCUCCCCUCACUACCCUCUGUCACACCUCUGUGCCUUUGCCCAUGCAGGGCUCUCUGCCUGCCUUCAUUCAGGCUGACACUCAAAUACUUGAGGAGCACCUCCCGAGUGCCAGGCCCUAACGGAGGGGCUGGAGAAAUAGUGGUGAGCAAAACUGUCCCCGUCUCUGCUCAUCUGGCAUCUAGCAGAGAACAGCAACACUAACCUGCGAUGUUUUAGCACCUACUCUGUAGUGGUUUACCACCCCCUUGUGAAACAGGAUAGUGUGUCUGCACGGAAGCAGGGGGCAGAAGCAAACAAGAGUUCCUGUGUGGGGCAUUCCCAACACAAAAGAGAGGUCAUCAAGCCUUGAAUCUGGUGAGACUUGAAGCAUCUGAUUACAAAUGGACUGAGCCUCCAUUUCCUUAUCAGUAAAACAGAAAAAUACAGUAAUUCCUGUCCCUUGGUGAAAAAAAGCACAAAACCGUAUGUGUAAGUCAGAAUACCAGUCAAAACUGACAUAAACCAAAAGGGAACUUAUUGGUUCAUGUAACUAAAAGCUCCAACUUCAGGCAUGGCUGGAUCCAGGUGCUCAAACACCAUCAAGCAUCGUCUGGCUCUCUCCACAUUUCAGCUCUGCUUUCCUCUGUGUUAGCUGCAUUCUCAACCUAGAGAUACUGAGAUAGCACCCAGUAGCUCCAGACUUAUAUCCUAUUGAUUCAACUAUCCACAGAGAGCAGCUCCAGCAAAAACCCAGGGAUUUGCUGUGAUUGGUCUGGACUGGGUCAUGCAUCCAUCCUCAAGCUAAUCACUGAGGCUUGGGUGAUAGACGAUAUAGAUUCACCAGGCCUGGAGCUGAGGGAUGAGAAUGAAUCCCAUAUGAAGCAUGUGGCCUGAGCAGGAAGAUGAGGAAAUUCAGCUGCUGUUACCAAAAGAAAGGACAGGAUAAAACUACAGAUGUCCCUCUGCGAGAUUUUAGCCCUGCCUCAGGUAUGUGACCCUGCACAAAUUAUUUCUCCUCUCCAGUCUUUGAGUUCCCUACCUGUAAGAUUCUGACUUCAAACUCAAUUGCUGAUUUUGAUACCUUUUGUAGCAGAAAACUUUUUUACUUUUCAAUAAACAAUACACGGAACCCAAAACAUAGAACAGAUAAGAGCUGUGUUUUAUUAGAAAUGUUAUUUGUGUUUAAUUUUUAUUUUUUAUUUUACUUUACACUCUGGGAUACAUGUGCAGAACAUGCAGGUUUGUUACAUAGGUAUACAUGUGUCAUGGUGGUUUGCUGCACCUAUCAACCCAUCAUCUAGGUUUUAAGCCCCGCAUGCAUUAGGUAUUUGUCCUAAUGCUGUCCCUCCCCUGGCCCCUCACCCCCCAACAGGCCCCGGUGUGUGAUGUUCCCCUCCCUGUGUCCAUGUGUCCUCAUUGCUCAACUCCCACUUAUGAGUGAGAACAUGCAGUGUUUGGUUUUCUGUUCCUGUGUUAGUUUGCUGAGGAUGAUGGUUUCCAGCUCUAUCCAUGUCCCUGCAAAGGACAUGAACUCAUUUUUUAUGGCUGCAUAGUAUUCCAUGGUGUGUAUGUGCCACAUUUUCUUUAUCCAGUCUAUCAUUGAUGGGCAUUUGGGUUGGUUCCAAGUCUUUGCUAUUGUAAAUAGUGCUGCAAUAAACACACAUGUGCAUGUGUUUCUAUAGUAGAAUGCUUUAUCAUCCUUUGGGUAUAUACCCAGUAAUGGGAUUGCUGGGUCAAAUGGUAUUUCUGGUUCUAGAUCCUUGAGGAAUCACCAUACUGUCUUCCACAAUGGUUGAACUAAUUUACACUCACACCAAUAGCGUAAAAGCGUUCCUAUUUCUCCACAGCCUCACCAGCAUCUGUUGUUUCCUGACUUUUUAAUCAUCUCCUUUCUAACUGACGUGAGAUGGUAUCUCAUUGUGGUUUUGAUUUGCAAGAAACGUUAUUUGUUUGAUCCAGUAUUAGUCAGGAUAGACCAGAAUCUGCUGUAAUAAAUAAACCCCAAUAUCUCAGUGGCUUAACACACAAAGGUUUGCUUCUUGCUCCUGUCACUGUUCGGUGCAGGUCAGUCAUUGAGAACAAUGAGGUUGUUUUGAUAGAUCAAAAAG